rnacentral:rRNA from 2 species
GUCCUAAGGUAGCGAAAUUCCUUGUCGGGUAAGUUCCGACCUGCACGAAUGGCGUAAUGAUGGCCAGGCUGUCUCCACCCGAGACUCAGUGAAAUUGAACUCGCUGUGAAGAUGCAGUGUACCCGCGGCAAGACGGAAAGACCCCGUGAACCUUUACUAUAGCUUGACACUGAACAUUGAGCCUUGAUGUGUAGGAUAGGUGGGAGGCUUUGAAGUGUGGACGCCAGUCUGCAUGGAGCCGGCCUUGAAAUACCACCCUUUAAUGUUUGAUGUUCUAACGUGGACCCGUGAUCCGGGUUGCGGACAGUGUCUGGUGGGUAGUUUGACUGGGGCGGUCUCCUCCUAAAGAGUAACGGAGGAGCACGAAGGUUGGCUAAUCCUGGUCGGACAUCAGGAGGUUAGUGCAAUGGCAUAAGCCAGCUUGACUGCGAGCGUGACGGCGCGAGCAGGUGCGAAAGCAGGUCAUAGUGAUCCGGUGGUUCUGAAUGGAAGGGCCAUCGCUCAACGGAUAAAAGGUACUCCGGGGAUAACAGGCUGAUACCGCCCAAGAGUUCAUAUCGACGGCGGUGUUUGGCACCUCGAUGUCGGCUCAUCACAUCCUGGGGCUGAAGUAGGUCCCAAGGGUAUGGCUGUUCGCCAUUUAAAGUGGUACGCGAGCUGGGUUUAGAACGUCGUGAGACAGUUCGGUCCCUAUCUGCCGUGGGCGCUGGAGAACUGAGGGGGGCUGCUCCUAGUACGAGAGGACCGGAGUGGACGCAUCACUGGUGUUCGGGUUGUCAUGCCAAUGGCACUGCCCGGUAGCUAAAUGCGGAAGAGAUAAGUGCUGAAAGCAUCUAAGCACGAAACUUGCCCCGAGAUGAGUUCUCCCUGACCCUUUAAGGGUCCUGAAGGAACGUUGAAGACGACGACGUUGAUAGGCCGGGUGUGUAAGCGCAGCGAUGCGUUGAGCUAACCGGUACUAAUGAACCGUGAGG